rnacentral:ncRNA from 2 species
AUGAAGGCAAGGGGAGAGACCGUAUUUGCGGCACCGAAGGAGCAAAUGGUGAAUCCAUGAAUCUCUCAGGUACAGAGACUCUUGCUGGACG